rnacentral:misc_RNA from 1 species
UAGCUGGAUCGAGGAUAGU